GACGUAGGGGGCCAGCGUUGUUCGGAAUUACUGGGUGUAAAGGGUUCGUAGGCGGUGCGGCAAGUUGGGAGUGAAAUCUCUGGGCUUAACCCAGAGGCUGCUUCCAAAACUGCUGUGCUUGAGUGUGGGAGAGGCGCGUGGAAUUGCAGGUGUAGCGGUGAAAUGCGUAGAGAUCGGCAGGAGCACCCAGGGGGAAACCAGUCGACUGGGCAUCUACUGACGCUGAGGUGCGAGAGCGUGGGGAGCGAACCGG
rnacentral:rRNA from 1 species